AGAGUUUGAUCCUGGCUCAGGACGAACGCUGGCGGCGUGCUUAACACAUGCAAGUCGAACGGAAAGGCCUCUUCGGAGGUACUCGAGUGGCGAACGGGUGAGUAACACGUGGGUGAUCUGCCCUGCACUCUGGGAUAAGCCUGGGAAACUGGGUCUAAUACCGGAUAGGACCAUGCUUUAGUGUGUGUGGUGGAAAGUUUUUUCGGUGUAGGAUGAGCCCGCGGCCUAUCAGCUUGUUGGUGGGGUAAUGGCCUACCAAGGCGGCGACGGGUAGCCGGACUGAGAGGUUGGUCGGCCACAUUGGGACUGAGAUACGGCCCAGACUCCUACGGGAGGCAGCAGUGGGGAAUAUUGCACAAUGGGCGCAAGCCUGAUGCAGCGACGCCGCGUGGGGGAUGACGGCCUUCGGGUUGUAAACUCCUUUCGCCAGGGACGAAGCGGUUUGUGACGGUACCUGGAGAAGAAGCACCGGCUAACUACGUGCCAGCAGCCGCGGUAAUACGUAGGGUGCAAGCGUUGUCCGGAAUUACUGGGCGUAAAGAGCUCGUAGGUGGUUUGUCACGUCGUCUGUGAAAUUCCACAGCUUAACUGUGGGCGUGCAGGCGAUACGGGCUGACUUGAGUACUGUAGGGGUAACUGGAAUUCCUGGUGUAGCGGUGAAAUGCGCAGAUAUCAGGAGGAACACCGAUGGCGAAGGCAGGUUACUGGGCAGUUACUGACGCUGAGGAGCGAAAGCAUGGGUAGCAAACAGGAUUAGAUACCCUGGUAGUCCAUGCCGUAAACGGUGGGCGCUAGGUGUAGGGACCUUUUGGGGUUUCUGUGCCGUAGCUAACGCAUUAAGCGCCCCGCCUGGGGAGUACGGCCGCAAGGCUAAAACUCAAAGGAAUUGACGG
rnacentral:rRNA from 1 species